AUGCUCCAUUUUCAACAAAAUCUUCACGCCAAGCCUUUAAUGUUAUUCAAGCUUCAUUAUAUGUCUUCAUUUCCUUCAAGUCCCUUCACCUUGUUUCAUCACAUCAAUUCAACAUCCAUAAAUAAUCCAAAACAGAUGGCAAAAAUUAAACAUAACCAUGUACACAAUGCAGCCCUACAAAAUCAUCGACAAACUAGAUGCCAAAUCACAACAAAACACGUCCAAUUCAUAUAA